rnacentral:rRNA from 1 species
UUCAAAGACCUAUAUGUGCAUUUUAAGAGUUGGGCGUACAUGACACGGUGGAAUAAGUUCCAAGGGCUUUAUAGGAAGUGGAAUUUGCACAUUUCGACCUUAGGGAAGCAGUAGAGAUAUUUUAAAAAAAAAGUCCGCCGUCAAAUCCUAGGGCUCAACCUUGGAUAGGCGGUGAAAACUACCAAGCUCAACCUUGGAUAGGCGGCGAAAACUACCAAGCUGGAGUACGGUAAAGGUAGAGGGAAUUUCCGGUGGAGCGGUGAGAUGCAUUGAGAUCGGAAAAAACACCAACGGCGAAAGCAUUCUCGGCCAACACUGACACCGAGAGACGAAAGCUAGGGGAGCAAAUGGGAUUAGAGACCCAGUAGUCCUAGCCGUAAACCAUGGAUACUAAUUGUGUCGUUAGCAAUAGCCAACCAUACACAGUGCACGCCUU